AUGUUUGCAAUUCUGGUCCAAGUACUCCUUGUUUAAUCUUUCUUUUUUCCUUUUUUCGGCAUAUUCAAAUGCUUUUUUGAAUAUUCAUAUCUUUGAAGCCGUAAAUUCAAAUCUAACAUGUUAUAUAUGAAAAUCUCUCAAAAAAUGUGUACAUUUCAAAUAUGCUAUUACCUUGCAUGUUUGCAACUAAAUUAAAUUUUAACAUGAAUUAUAGUUGUAAACACAUAUACCAGCAAGAAAAAAUAAUGCAC
rnacentral:lncRNA from 1 species